UUAUGUUUGGUUUCCACUUUCCACCGAUGUCCACUGUACCUGCAUGCUCGAGUGCUCGACGCUUGCCCGUGCGACAGCCUCUCCAGUCCUCGGCUCACCUUGCAUCUUGCCCCCCACCGCUGCUGCAAUCGUGCGCUCUAGCUGAUGCCGACGACCAAGGACGAAUCCCCGGUUGCUUCGAUGCUCAACCGAUGGCAGCGCGGCUGCGGCUUCCGGCUGCAGGCAUCGUAGCCCCUGGCGCGGCCCGGGCAGAAAGGGAACAAAGCCGCGUCGCGCCCCG
rnacentral:lncRNA from 1 species